rnacentral:rRNA from 1 species
CCUACGGGAGGCAGCAGUAGGGAAUCUUCCGCAAUGGACGAAAAUCUGACGGAGCAACGCCGCGUGAGUGAUGAAGGCCUUCGGGUCGUAAAACUCUGUUGUUAGGGAAGAACAAGUACCGGAGUAACUGCCGGUACCUUGACGGUACCUAACCAGAAAGCCACGGCUAACUACGUGCCAGCAGCCGCGGUAAU